rnacentral:tRNA from 2 species
GGGUCUUUAGCUCAGCAGUAGAGCGGCAGACUUCGGUUCUCUAAUUCGAAGAUGCCUUGAGGGUAUUCUGCAGGUCGCGGGUUCAAUCCCCGUAGGACUCU